AGAGCUCAUCACACUGAGAUGUGGCCAGGACUUCACUGAGUCAUAGAAACAUAGAAUUGUCAUAGAACUAUUUCUCUUAGAAGGGACCCUUAAAGACCAUCUGGUCCAACCCCCUGCAGUGAACAGGGACACCCACAGCUCCAUCAGGUGCUCACAACCCUGUCCAGCCUGAUCUUGGGUGUCUCCAGGGAUGGGGCAUCCACCGCCUCUUUGGGUAGCCUGUGCUUCAUCACACUUAUUGUAAAAAACUUCUUCCUUACCAUGCAGUCUUAAUCUCCCCUCCUUUAGUUUGCGACCAUUUCUCCUUAUCCUGUCACAGAGACCCUGCUGAAGAGUCUGUCCCCUUCCUUCUUACAGCCCCUUUAGAUACUGAAAGCUGCUAUCAGGUCUCCCCGGAGACAUCUCCAGGAAUCUUUUAUUUUUAUUAAAACAACUUACUCCCUAUAUUAUUUGACCCUGCAGUGUGACAGUGCCCAAUCCAUGGCAGAACUCAGGCUGUAAGGUGUUUGCUGUGGGGUAAUGAUAUCAAGUUGGCCUACGGGCAGACAACCUUAUGGAGAGCUCACAUUGCACAGGAAUUGCAAGCUACAGACUGGAACAACAGAGAGCUGCAAAGCACACCUGCCCAUGGAUUAUGGAAGUGACUUCAUGCUAUCUGUCCAGAAGAAAUAAAGUUGCAGUGAGCAAAGGAAGGCAGGAGUGGACACUCAUUCAUUGUCUCAGGCCAUCGUUUGUGUACUGGAAAGGCUUUAUUUCCCUAAGAUGAGGA
rnacentral:lncRNA from 1 species